rnacentral:rRNA from 1 species
AACGAACGCUGGCGGCAGGCUUAACACAUGCAAGUCGAGCGCCCCGCAAGGGGAGCGGCAGACGGGUGAGUAACACGUGGGAAUCUACCCAUCCCUACGGAACAACUCCGGGAAACUGGAGCUAAUACCGUAUACGCCCUUUGGGGGAAAGAUUUAUCGGGGAUGGAUGAGCCCGCGGUGGAUUAGCUAGUUGGUGGGGUAAAGGCCUACCAAGGCGACGAUCCAUAGCUGGUCUGAGAGGAUGAUCAGCCACAUUGGGACUGAGACACGGCCCAAACUCCUACGGGAGGCAGCAGUGGGGAAUAGUGGACAAUGGGCGCAAGCCUGGUCCAGCCAUGCCGCGUGAAUGAUGAAGGCCUUAGGGUUGUAAAGUUCUUUCACCGAUGAAGAUGAUGACGGUAGUCGGAGAAGAAGCCCCGGCUAACUUCGUGCCAGCCGCCGCAGUAA